AGUCAUUGUAGGGUCUUCUGAUGACAGUGAUGGGGAAGAAAUGGUGAUCAACAGUGUUGUUGUCACAGAAGAAGUUGACCGAGUUUUGAAAUCAGUGAAAUAUCUGGUAGAAGCAGAGUAUGAUAAGGAGAUUGCAAAGGCAUUGGGAGUCGAAAAGAUAACACUGAAGGCUAUUGUAUAAAACAGCUGUCUCCGGAUUACACCUUCAAAAAGAUCUGAUGAUUUUUAGGGCAUUGCACAUGGUCAGUGUGAACCAGAGUGACUUGACACAAUGGGACAUGCAAGCUGCGCAAACAAAACAACACAGGACUUCUUAUUUAAUGAAAGGAGUUGCAGUCGUCCGUGAAGCUUUCAUCCAUGUAUACAGAUGGUAUCUAGAUGCAUAGGAGGGAUAAUUUGACCAAACAGUGUGGACAUCAAAACCCCCUCUAACCGGCUGAAGAAAUGACAUUCACUAUGGCCCUGUCCUGCACCACUUCUGUCGAGAGACCUGAGUCUGAGCCAGCAACCGGUGUACAGCAUCCAGUUGAAGUCAUCAACUGCCUUUUCUCUCAGGGGGGAAACAGAAGUCCACGUGGAGUGAGCAUGGAGAGAGAGAUCCAUUCCAAAAUGUUUCUCAUAUCACUGGUAGGCAAAUGGACAAGACAUAAUGUGUUGUGGUGGGGUUCAGGUGAGACAUUGAAAUUGGGACAUUGUCAUGGGCCAUCUAUUUUGAACUGUGAAGCUAUCUGAAGAAGAAAAAUGAAGAAAUGCCAGAAGAUUGAGUGCUGGAGAAGGGAGGGGGUUGGUCAACUGUGCCCUUGAUUUAGACUUGUCUGACAUUUUUAUUUGGGGUGUCAGGUUGAUGGGGAGGUCUACACUGCUAAAUGUAUGAUUUAUGCUAAGAAUGCAUUGGUAUACUGAUCUGUAAUAAUAACCCUGAUGAGAGAGUUAAUUAUGAGAUUAAUAUAUUGUAUGGGCAGGUUUGAUUUUGGG
rnacentral:lncRNA from 1 species